UACGUAGGGUGCGAGCGUUAAUCGGAAUUACUGGGCGUAAAGCGUGCGCAGGCGGUCUCGCAAGUCCGAUGUGAAAUCCCCGGGCUCAACCUGGGAACUGCGUCUGAUACUGGAUGGCUUGAGUUUGGGAGAGGGACGCGGAAUUCCAGGUGUAGCGGUGAAAUGCGUAGAUAUCUGGAGGAACACCGGUGGCGAAGGCGGCGUCCUGGACCAACACUGACACUGAGGAGCGAAAGCCAGGGGAGCAAACGGG
rnacentral:rRNA from 1 species